AGGAGAGCGGGAAGAAGCGGGUCAGCGAGCGCCGAGGGAUUCAGUUGCUGUCUGGGGAGGCGCCAUUGCUGCAGGAGCAGCGGAGCCUCGAUCAGCAGCUGGCGCAGCAGAAGGAAGAGGCAUCGUGUGGAGCGUCGAGGCAAGGGUGAGAGAGAAGAGGAGCGGUGUCGGGCUGACCAGGGGUCAGGAGAAAGCAGCUGCUGCUGGAGAAGAAAGACAAGGCAUCCGAUGUGUGGGGAAGGAGCCACAAGUCAACGGCGAGCGAGAAGAGAAGCAGAGGACUGAAGGGGAGGAAGGAGAAAGGCGCUGUGGGCAAGCGGACCUGCCUGUCACCGGAUCUGUGGUCACAUAAGAGCCUUCGUUGCCUUUUGCCACCCUUUGGCCAACCAGCUUUGUCACCGGCUUUGCUACAGGAUGACCUUGUGUGCAGGACCUGUCAGUUAUGGUGCUCAAAAGACUGGCAGAGAGCGCUCCCUGCACUCCAGCAGGGCCUGAUGGACUUGGCCUCGGUUGGUCAUGGUGUUGCCUGCCCAUGCCAGGUCUUGCUACUGUCUCAGUGGUCUCACAAGGAGAUGAGAUGGUGGCAUGCUGGGUGUGAAGUGGUGGUGUGGGA